AUCUUUUCCCUCACAGUCAUUUUAAUUGGCAGGGAGCAGUGAACAAUCCGGCAGCAGGUCUCAGCCAGCCUGACCUAACAGAGCCUUGCCGCUUGGAUCAACAGGCAGAAAGUCCAUCUGGGAGACCAAGCCCUAGUCCCUCCAGCAAGUCCUUACUGUUAAUUAAAGGUAUUAAUUGGCAUGCAGCCUGCUUAUUUAAAGAGGCAGUGGCCUCUGCAGUGCCUGGUGGUAAUUACAGAUACACAGAGCUGCUCCUAAACGAUAUGCGAGGAUGGUCAGGGGGCUCUGCUAGCCCCUGCUUGAGGGCUUCUGCCCCUUUGCAUGCUCCUGGGGAGGACAGAUGUUUCUGGAACUGUACUUGGAGGUGGGGAGCAUCAGCAUGAAUGCAUGGCUGGGGCUGGACCCAGCGGUACUCUGGCUUUUCUGUACCAUUCCAGCACUCCAAGCAGCCAGGGGGGUGCAAGCAGGAGGAUUCUAUUGUUGGGCACUCCCCUGCCAGAGCCUCCGCCCCAACUUGGUUAAAGUCUGUGCAGUUCAAUUUCUGAACGUAGUCUGGGAGCAACAUGAAAAUUAGAUCUAAUAAUGAAUGAUUACAACUUUCAAGUUAAGUCUAGUUGGUUGACUAAUCAAUUUGGUUAAGUGAAAAUCCAUAGCAAAUGAGUCAGCCGCAGUACAACAUUUCUCCAUCCAAUUUAAAUUAAAAUCACCAACCAUAAUAAUUUCACAAUUACUCUGUGAGGAUGCACCAGGGACUUGCCCCUUGAGAAAGAAAAUGUCAAGGACUGCAGGAGAGACACCAGGGGCAAGGGGAGCAUGGGGAUAGGGAUGGAUGCUCCAGCAGUGGGGAUGCAUCAUUGGGUCCCCAGGUGACACUGGAGCUCCUCAGCACCAAAGCAUAGCACCUCCCAUCCCCCAGACUUGCAUGCAGCCCCCAGGGGUUUGGCCAUUAUUUAUAGCAAUGGAGCAGGGCAGUGUGAGAGGGGAGCCUGGUCCUGUAGAUCAAUUUGUAAUUUUUCUUUUUCGCUGUGGCAAGAGUGUGAGGGAUGUGAGCAUUAAAUCCCCAGAAAAGUCACCUCUGCAGCAAUCUUUAGCAGUCUGCAUUAUUUAUUUGUGUACAGUUGCAUUACAUACUGGGCCCUACCAAAAUAAGUAAAUAAGACCAGGGCAGGCUGUGUCCAUAGCAGAGCAGGUGCUUGGAGAUGGGUCUCAUUCUGCACACAGGUGGGCUGCAGGGAGGGGUCUGGGUGAACAGAACCAGUCCUGCUUUCUGGUUGGUUCUCUGCCCCUGUUGUUUACAGCAGGUAAUUAACGACCUGUUCACCCUGAAAGUGGAGGGUGAGCUGACUCUAGUGGUUUAAUAAUUCAGUGCCUUUACAGAACUUUGUGCUUGUGCAAAACACUCAGAUGCAUGCUGCAGAGCAGCUGGCCUGGCCUGGAAGGCUUUGCAGAGGUUUCUGUGUGAAGCUAUUAUAGCAGAAAUGCUAAGUCAUGGCUUGAAGCAGUGAUUGAGCACCUGGUGGGAAGGCAGGGCCAGCCCAGGGGAGCUCAGGUGCAAGCAGUGCCAUGCACCUGGGUGACCAGAACAGGGUGGAGCCAGAAUCCAUCCCUUCCCAGACCUCAUUUAAGGGUUGGCAGUGGAGGCUAGUAUAUUUUGCUGGAGAUCCCUGAGUACCUCGGGCUUUCUGAAGCUGCAAAGCGACAUGUGCACCAAAAGCAAACCAACCUUGCACAAAUUAUCCCAAUUCCUGCCUUGCAAGCAGAGACAGCUGUGACGGAUUCCAGCAAAACACCUUGCGUCUGGUCUACAAAGCCCGAGCUAAUCUGCACAUCCAACCAAAGCGGGUCCUUCCUCAUCACAUGCUUGUGCUGCCAGAGCAGGGGACGUGGAUAAUACUUUGGAGCCACUACAAACGCUUUGGAAAAGACUGUGCCAUGGUAGCAAACAGCUGGUGUAGCUAAUCCAUUUUCCAAGCACAUUUGCAAGAUACAUAAUUAAGAGUUCUGUUGAGGAGCGAAGCAAAGCAGACCAUUAGAUUUGUUUAUAACAUUACGGGUAGUGUAAUACUCACCCAGGAUCUCCCUUUCCUGCAAAAGACAUUAAGGUGAUCCUUAGGAAAUGUCCCUGGGAUUUUCUGAUGAUGCCAAUGUGACAUUAAAUUUCUGUUCCUGUGUUUCUCCCUGUGUUUCCAUCCUGUUGAACGCUCAGAGCCUGCCCUGCACGCAUUUCAGAAGCGAAGGACUUUCCUAAUUACAGUGCGAACAAUUCGAGGCACACACUUUUGGUGUGUUUUGCAUCAGAUCCGCCCAAAUUCAAACGAGCAGGGAAAGUUUCUCUUCUGGACACCAACUUUUCACAAGCAUCCCCUCUUGGGCUUUGCGGGGGCACCAGAGGCUGCUCUCAGUGGAGGAAGCCAAGGGAGCUGUGCCAAGGCUGGGAAACGUGCUGAGGAAGGAGGCUGCAAGAUAGCUGCUCUUUGGGAGCUGUGCAAAUCCCAAGCCAUCAAGGGGAGGACAUCAUCUGAAGCCAACUUGCAAACAACUUGAAGUGCAGAGGGGAGAUUUCAGCCAAAUUGAGCUCUGGGCAGUGUUUAAACCAUGUGGAAGGAGAGGAACCCACGAUUUUCCCUCUGUUGCACAGUGCAUCAGAUGGGCAGGACAGACCCAGCUUCUCUAAGCAAUGCUGACAAGAUUACCUACUGAUUGCCGGAGUAAAAUGUUGCAUUUCAACUAAAGCUGGGGCAGAUGGCAGAGGAAAGCGCUGGAAACUUGUCACUAAUUUCUAGUGAAGGACAAACCUCUCGGGGAUUGCGGGUUCACUCUGGGAGACUUGGAAUGGGAACCCUUGUGAAAGAGCGGCAACAGGUAUUGCUUAUCCCUGAGGGACUCAGUGCCUUCCCAGAGAAGAACAAACAUGAUGGGAGGAGAGCUGCAAGCACAGGUCUGGAUGUGAUGCUGCAAGGAGAACACAAGCAAAGUGUGAAGUUCCCAAAGUCGAUGGGUGUGAGGUGUGUGGCACCAGCCCUGCUCAGCAGAGGUGGACCCAGGUUAAAGCCAUUCCCCCUUGUCCUUUUCUUCAGGCAGCGCUGGGCACGUCCAACUGUGAGCUUUCAUUUCUCUUCCAUUCUGUCUCUGCCAUUUCUUCUGGAGGCCAGAAGGAGACCCUGGUGGAAUAUUAACUCCGUGGUCGCUGAGUGAUUAUUUAUUGCAAUCAUUGCUUACGGGUCCUUUGACUCGUCUCUGUUAAUUAGACUGCAGGGUGUAAUAAACGUGAUGGAAAGCACCCAGGCAGGGCUGGGGAUGCUGCAGCGUGCGGAGCAGCCGCUGUGCUGGGUGCAGCCUCACGGCCAGUCAAGCCUUGACCUCAUCCAUCCAGCAAAGGGCAGGAGAAGCUUACAAGUCUGAAACUGUGUUAAAAGAGAGAGUUGGUGCUGAGCAGCGUGGCCCUGCUGGAAAUGAGUUCGUGGUUGAAGAGUGCCUUCUUGAUGUUCUCCCAGUGCCUGGCCUCAGGGUGCUGAAGCUUGGCACCCAGAUGCUCACCAUGGCUCUGCCUGGAUGGUCACCUGUGCCCAGGUCACCCAUUUCAGCAGAGCAGGGGUUUGGCCCUAUGGGGCAAAUGGUGGCAUGCACACGCUAAGGACAUGGAGGGGUGAGAGGCAGCAGACACACAGAGCUGCCCCUGCCCUGUAUGAGGAGAUAUUAGGAAAGGAAGGAGAAAUGAGCUCAUUAAAAUGGCACUGGAACCCCCAGCGGGGACUCCUGCCGAAGCAGACUGUGUGUAGUGCGUUAUGACGAGAGCUGAGAGCAGCUCAGCUCUGACAGUUAUUUAAAAUUUAAACCCACAAAUUAAACAGGUUCUUUUAUAUAAUGAUAGAGUCCAUGUCCCGGGUCCCUGAGCACCUCUCACUCACAGACAGCAGAAAUACCACUCUCCAUGAGCAACCUAUGGGUUCUAGCAUCCCCACUGCUCACACAUGUCCCUGCUUGUGGCCGGGUGCUGCUUGCCCUUGGGUUGGCUAUGGAUGAACCCCCCUCCAUUCCCCCUCAAGCCUCAGUGAUGCCACGCAGAGCUCAGGUCAGCCGCAGUCUCAGCUGACUCCUGCUUUGAGUUUUAACUUCAGUUUUUAAAUUAUCACUCAAAGCAAAGUCAUGGUGAGAGGAGAAGAAGUCCUGACAUUUGUGUCACAAAAGGAAACCUUUCUUCCCUUUCUUCUUUAAAGGCUGGCUUUUCUCCUGCCGCUACCUGUUGCUCUGAAUGGAUUCGGUGAAAGGAAGCUUUGGGAUGGAAACACUGAAAUUCUAAGCCCUGCAAGAAGAGCAGGCAACGUCACAGUGAUACCUGUGCUUUUUGCUAUGAGGACUGCUCUGAAAGUAAUGCCUCCUGUUUUAUGAUGUUGGCCUGUGACAUCAGAGGCGGAUGGUGGUGGCACAGCAGUAGAGAUGGAACCUUCCCACCAAUAUCCCGUUCCAUGUUGUUGCCAUGUGACAGAUGGCAGCAGAGGGGCAGUCUGACACAGCGGUGUCUGACAUGGAAGUGCAGAGGAAGCAAAGGUGUGGAACUGAAUUCCUCCAUGCAGAAAAAAAUGUCACUUAUUGGAGCAUGGUGAACAUAGGAAAUGAAAUGGCUGCACAGGGAGGUGGUGGAGUUGCUGUUCCUGGCAGUGUUCAAGAGGCAUCUGGAUGAGGAGCUAUGAGAGAUGGUUUAGUGGCUUG